AUUAUGGGAUACACGUUUUUAAACAUCCUUUUGUGUGUAAGUGUGCAUUAGUACAUGCUAACGAUAUUCAAAAAGUACAUACCUCAAAGAAAACGAUGACGCGAGUUAUCGUCUCUAACGUUCGAGGACUACAAAAAACACUCGGAUUGUAGGCAACAGUUUACUUCCUGGGAUUAGUGACGUAGAUAAGACCAACAUUAUCAUAGUUCAGCCCUCUCUGCUUUGCUUGGGUACGCCCUCAAAGACGGGGGUGGGGAGCGCCGAGUCAGAAGAGAGCUAAAAUGGCGGAGGUUGUGAGUCCCUGCUUUGACUCUGUUUGCAAACUCUUGUUUCAUUGUUUAAGCGAUUAAAUCUCUCGAGUAGACGCUGUCUCUUUAGAUGCGUGGGAAAAAUAGCACUUUAUGGACUUCCACAGAGGACAUCAUGUUUAAUACGGUUCCGGAAAAAUCCAGUCAGAAGUUGUUCACGGAGUUUUCACAAUAACUGCUUCUCAUCAUGAACCGAAGCUGGAUUUGCGCGACGUCUCCUCUUGAAAGUUGGAUUACUGUGCACUUCUGGAUCACAGGCUAUUCGCAGCUGUACACAUCCUUCUACACUGUAUGCAAACAUGCAACAUCAUUACACACAGUACAAGGAGUCAGACUGGCAAAUGAGGAGCAAAGGAACCCAGGCAGUAGCAUCGUUUCACAAUGUUUCCAUCACCAUCAUCAGUGGAUGCCUUUGCCGUCCGUAGCCUGAGAUUUCAGAUUUGCAGCAAAAAAAAAUUGAUUUUCUCAUUUAUUGGAAUGCUGUGCAGGUCACCAAGCCGUAACAAAAGCAGGAGAGGGAAAGUACAAGGCUAUGUUCCCAAAACACACAAGUGACAUACCUUAUGUGGAUGAUGUGAUCAGGCUUGUGUUUGCUGAGGUAUUUGAAGAUAAGCUGAAGGAUGCCCUGAUUCCAAUGGACCUGGCAUCACAGUUUGAGAGACCUUCAAAGGAGGACGUGAUUGCAUGCCAUCUUCAGUGCAG